rnacentral:rRNA from 1 species
GGAGGGUGCGAGCGUUAAUCGGAAUUACUGGGCGUAAAGCGCGCGCAGGCGGCUGGGUCAGUCGGAUGUGAAAGCCCCGGGCUUAACCUGGGAAUUGCAUUCGAUACUGCCCGGCUAGAGUAUGGGAGAGGGAAGUGGAAUUUCCGGUGUAGCGGUGAAAUGCGUAGAUAUCGGAAGGAACACCAGUGGCGAAGGCGGCUUCCUGGCCCAAUACUGACGCUCAGGUGCGAAAGCGUGGGGAGCGAACAGGGAUUAGAUACCCUGGUAGUCCACGCUGUAAACGAUGAGAACCCAGAUGUUGGGAGGGUUAGCCUCUCAGUGUCGCAGCUAACGCGUUAAGUUCUCCGCCUGGGGAGUACGACCGCAAGGUUG